UACUACUGAGGCUCAGCCUUGCGGUGGCCGGUUCCUCUCGCCAGCGAUGGGGGGAGGAUGGCCCAAACCGAUGGGCGUUCUCGCGGAGCUGACCCAGCGUAGCAAAACAAGACAUUCGCUGUGGAAGGGGCUCCGGGGGGACGCCAGUUCCAACGACGC
rnacentral:misc_RNA from 1 species